GGAGUGUUGAAGAUUUCGUGUGUUUAGCACCUCACUCUAACCGCUUCUCCUGCCGGCGCCUCUUUAAGAAGAAUCCUUACAUUUUGGGCCUCACUGCUGUCGCUAGCAUUGGUGGACUCUUCUUUGGCUACGACACAGGAGCCUUCUGUAUAUCAAAGAUGAUUUUGAGGAGUUCAGAGACAUUUAUUUGCUACAGCAACUCUCUUCCAAAUUUCUGAAGAAGGUCCAUCCAUAGUGUUGAUUGGGCAAUUGUUGGAGUCAUGGAUCUUUGAAGCCAUGCCAUCACCAUUGUAUUCCAUCACUGCCACACUGGAAUCAGUGCUCGCGGGAGAAGGUAAGCUUCCAUCAAUAAAGGCGGUUUUGUUCUUCGAAACAGUGUCAUUCGCAUGGAACUGAUCAUACAUGAUAGUUUUUCUCAUUUAAUUGAGGUUAUGCUAGAACAAAUGCUGGAUUUUCAGCAUUAUAGAGGUAGUAAGUAUUAACAAGGUAAUCCUGAUACUGAUUUGCCAUUCUUUUUUUUUUCCCUAAAGAACAACCAAUAUAUUAGAUGUGAAAAGACUUGAGACCAGCAUCUCAAGUAGGCAGGGAAAAAAGAAAGAAAGAAAAGGAUCAAGAGGAUCUCGAUCCGAAAAGGGCACUAAGCGGGAUCACCCUGAUUUACCAUUCUUGAAUCAAAGAAUCAAAUAAAAGGAACAUAAAUUGAAGAAAAAGGGCAAGUAUCGAAGAAGAUGAACAAGAAGAUUGAAGCAUACUAAAAUAGAUAAAUAUACACUGUCGGCGUAAAACAGUUUUACACUGACAACCAAUCACAACAUGCCACGUAGGAGAAAUAAUAACUUUUGUUUUAAAGUUUAAUUAAAACAAAUCUAUAUUUGAUGAUGUGGUGGAAUUCAAUUUGUAUAAAACAAAUGUAUAUUUGAUGAUGUGCACACUCAUUUAAUUUUUUUUUUUUAACAAAUAGAUAGAUAUUCAAUCAA